UACGAAGGGGGCUAGCGUUGCUCGGAAUCACUGGGCGUAAAGCGCACGUAGGCGGAUUUCUAAGUCGGGGGUGAAAUCCUGGAGCUCAACUCCAGAACUGCCUUCGAUACUGGAAGUCUUGAGUCCGGGAGAGGUGAGUGGAACUGCGAGUGUAGAGGUGAAAUUCGUAGAUAUUCGCAAGAACACCAGUGGCGAAGGCGGCUCACUGGCCCGGUACUGACGCUCAUGCACGACAGCGUGGGGAUCAAACAGG
rnacentral:rRNA from 1 species